rnacentral:misc_RNA from 1 species
GAUGAAGAACGUAGUGAAAUGCGAUAAGUAAUGUGAAUUGCAGAAUUCCGUGAAUCAUCGAAUCUUUGAACGCACAUUGCGCCCCCUGGCAUUCCGGGGGGCAUGCCUGUCCGAGCGUCAUUUCUGCCCUCAAGCACGGCUUGUGUGUUGGGUGUGGUCCCCCCGGGGACCUGCCCGAAAGGCAGCGGCGACGUCCGUCUGGUCCUCGAGCGUAUGGGGCUCUGUCACUCGCUCGGGAAGGACCUGCGGGGGUUGGUCACCACUAUAUUUUACCACGGUUGACCUCGGAUCAGGUAGGAGUUACCCGCUGAACUUAAGCAUAUCAAUAAGCGGAGGA